rnacentral:rRNA from 1 species
AGCAGCCGCGGUAAUUCCAGCUCCAAUAGCGUAUAUUAAAGUUGCUGCAGUUAAAAAGCUCGUAGUUGAAUUUCGGGAUCAAUAUGUUGGUCGUGCCUCGGUACGUACUAGCUUAUUGGUUUCUUCCUUCUGACGAACCAUAAUGUCAUUUAUUUGGUGUUAUGGGGAAUCAGGACUGUUACUUUGAAAAAAUUAGAGUGUUUAAAGCAGGCUCACGCUUGAAUACAUUAGCAUGGAACAAUGAAAUAGGACGUUUGAUUCUAUUUUGUUGGUUUCUAGGAUCGACGUAAUGAUUAAUAGGGAUAGUUGGGGGCAUUAGUAUUCAAUUGUCAGAGGUGAAAUUCUUGGAUUUAUUGAAGACUAACUACUGCGAAAGCAUUUGCCAAGGAUGUUUUCAUUAAUCAAGAACGAAAGUUAGGGGAUCGAAGACGAUCAGAUACCGUCGUAGUCUUAACCAUAAACUAUGCCGACUAGGGAUCGGAUGAUGUUAAUUUUUUAAUGACUCAUUCGGCGCCUUACG